rnacentral:rRNA from 1 species
CCUACGGGUGGCAGCAGUGGGGAAUUUUGGACAAUGGGCGCAAGCCUGAUCCAGCUAUUCCGCGUGUGGGAUGACGGCCCUCGGGUUGUAAACCACUUUAGUAGAGAACGAAAAGGAGCUAUCGAAUACAUAGCUCUGCUUACGGUACUCUAAGAAUAAGCACCGGCUAACGACGUGCCAGCAGCCGCGGUAAUACGUAGGGUGCGGGCGUUAAUCGGAGUUACUGGGCGUAAAGGGUGUGCAGGCUGUGAGGUAAGUCAGCGGUGAAAUGCCACCGCUCAACGGGGUGAAGUGACAUUGAUACUGCCUUGCUGGAAUGCGGAUGCCGUGGGAGGAAUGUGUGGUGUAGCGGUGAAAUGCAUAGAUAUCACACAGAACACCGAUUGCGAAGGCAUCUCACGAAUCCGCGAUUGACGCUGAUGCACGAAAGCGUGGGUAUCAAACAGGAUUAGAUACCCCUGUAGUC